CGUAUGUUUCCGAGCUAUAUGUGAUCACAACUAUAUGCCGGUUCAAGUCUUGUUCAACUGCUGUACCAUGGUUCAAGCUUGUUCAUUAAAAUCGGUGAUAUUCUUGGAACAACGAAUUGGCGUUAAGCUGUCACCUACACAGGGCUGAAAUGAUCUUGGACCAGUACAGACAGAAAGCCCAGCUGUAUAAGAAUGAUAUAUUACUGGCGCCUUUGGGAGACAACUUUAGAUAUGACAAACCUGAUGAAUGGGACAACCAGUUCAACAACAACCAGAGGCUGUUUGCUCAUAUCAAUGCUAGGUCAGAGUUAAAUGCUGAGCUGCAAUUUGGCACCCUGAAGGACUUUUUCAAUGCUGUGACACAGAGAUCUCAGCUCGAACCUGAACACGAUUUUUGCCCAAGGACUACGCGGUGCUGAGCGAGGAUUUCUUUAGAUAUUCUGAUCACGAGG